rnacentral:rRNA from 1 species
AUUCCAGCUCCAAUAGCGUAUAUUAAAGUUGUUGCAGUUAAAAAGCUCGUAGUUGAAUUUUGGACCUGGUUGAAUGGUCCCGCCGCAAGGUGGGUACUGUUUGAUUGGGUCUUUCUUUGCGGGGAAUUAGUGUGCUCUUAAUUGGGUGCAUUAAGGAUCCGUAACUUUUACUUUGAAAAAAUUAGAGUGUUUAAAGCAGGCUUAGGCCUGAAUACAUUAGCAUGGAAUAAUAGAAUAGGACCUGUGUUCUAUUUUGUUGGUUUCUAGGACGUAGGUAAUGAUUAAUAGGGACAGUUGGGGGCAUUAGUAUUUAACUGUCAGAGGUGAAAUUCUUGAAUUUGUUAAAGACGGACUACAGCGAAAGCAUUUGCCAAGGAUGUUUUCAUUA